UAGAUCAGAGCAAACCUCUCAUUCUCACCGAGACACCCACUCAUCCACAUGUGGGGCCCGUGGAACUCGAUGCAUUUUCUCUCCCGUUGCCUUUCGGCUCUCCGGCACGGGCUCUCUGGAUCGCUCUAUCUCCAUUCCUUUUUUUUUCUCCUCAAUGACAAUGCAUCUCACGCUUAGGGUUUCGCCGGCGAGGCGACUCCGGAGCUCGCCAAUCACAUGCCGCUAGCGAGGCGGCUGGGACCCGUACCCAUCGGCAACAGAGCUCGCCGUGGCCGGCGGUGACAGUGGGAGGCGGAGCUCCGCACGGAUCUGCCCGCGCACUUGACCCGGCCUCACGCCUCGAAGCGUGGCGGCGUGAUGGGCAACGACCGCUUCCCUUCAUGGGCGGGCACAUCAGGGAGUUGCGGCAACUCCGGCAGAAGCAGGUACCACCGGUGGCGGAGGCCUCGUGAGUCAGACCAUGGAAGCGGGGGGGGGGGGGGGGGGGUCCUGGUGAGAAUCUCGCAGGUCUGGGAGUGCCAUGGCUGCCCUUCAAGUGCCAGCAGCAGGCAACUCCAUCGAUGCCAUCGCCUACCUCAGCCACACGCUCAAGGUCAGGUUAGGAUUUUCUUCCCCCAUAUUUCCCCAUCCCUCCUCCGAUCUAUUUAUCUAAAGCGACCUUGCGUGUUGGUUGAUUGUUUGAGUAAUUGAAUCGGGGGCACACCCAAAUCCUCUGCUUCAGGCGGGUGGGUGCAGAUGCAGUGGAGAUUCAUCGGGCAUCCUAGGUGUUGGGAACACACCCACGCUCAUGUAGAUGUUCAUCUAGUUGUUUUUCACAUCGAUUGGCAGGGGGUGAUUCGUGUGUGGGGUGAGGGGGAUCAGACUUGCUUGAGAACGCCAGAUAUUUGCUGCUUAAUUCAGUUUCAGUUCAGUUCCAGUCAAGGCACAUUAUACAUAGUUGCUAGAAUUUUUUAAAUUUCCUGUUCAGUUUAGGCAAGUUAGUCCCGCAUUUUUUGGGGGAAUAUGAUGAUCUAGGCGACCAGUGCAGUCUACAGGCCUGGAUAUAAAUAUGUUAGAGAAUAGGUAACUAGGACAUUAACACAUGAUAGCAGAGGACAGUAACAGAGGAUCAGUUCAGUCCAGUUGAGUGCCCCUGUAUUUUUUUUAUUUUUUCCACACCCAGCCACCUGAUAGCAGAAGAAUGAUAGCUUAACUGGAUGAGAGCUAGGAGGAGGCAUUAUUUUUUUUAUACCAUAGCUUAAACGGCGGAUUUUUGUUUGGGCUGGGGAUAUAGUCUUUUUUCAAAAAGCUUUUUAUUAUGUGUUGGUAACAUGCAGUUUUACUUUGGUUUUUAUUCAGAAACAAAUAUUGAUUACAAUGACAAGGGGGCAGAAGUAGCAGCAAGGUCACAGUGCUUCGUCUAAUGUGGUAUAUCAAGCUUCUCAAUUGUUUUCUAUUUUUAUAUUUUCUCAGUAUGUCUUUUUUGUUAUUAUAAGUUGGCAUUAAUACACUUAGCAUAAGGUAUUUUAGCGCAUCUAGCUAGGCAUCAUUCAUUUUAGUAUUUUGUCUAUCAAUGUCUAAAAUCUGAUGUUCACCAUUUUAAUAUUCUAGCUAGGCAUUGAAAUGAUAUCUGUGCUGACGAUGGUGCGGCUGCAGUAGGAGAGCUCAAGAGGGAACUAGAAAAAGGCCCAGGCCUAUGCUUCCAACCCACCUGAAAGCAGAGGACAGUAAGUGUUUCUCUUGGCUGGCUUGGGAUUUUGACUUUGCCACUGGAUUGGACUGAAGCUGGUAUGUUUUUUUUUGAGACAUGCCCUUUAUUCAUCAGAAGAAUGAUAGCUUAACUAAAUGAUAGCUAUGAGGAGACAAUUUGGAUACGAUAGCUUAAUAGUGGUUUUUGUUGGGGGGGGGGGGCUGUAAGAGAGAUACGAUAGCUUGAAUAUUUUACAUAUGCAGAAACCUACUAGUUGUUUUUUAAAUUAUGUAUACCUACAGGGCGUAGACAACACAUUUUAGUAUAUUUUUGUGAUUCACCUGAUAACCUGGCUAAUGCAUUCAAAUAACCACACUAGAAUGUGUCAUGUAGGCAACUACAUCAUUUAUUGGAUUUCAUGAAGGCAACUUAUGCUAAAUGAACAUGCAAAUUAUUCAUUUCAGUUUAGCAUUUUUUGUGUUCUGAUUUAGCAUUUCUUUCUUGUGUAUAUUUCUACAAGUGAAAUGAACAUCUCACCUUGGUAGUUGGAUUGUCAUUUUUCUUAUUGAUAUCGUUAACUUGCUUUAUCCCUAUUCAUCGUGUAUUAGUAUUGAUAUGUAUUGAUGGAAAUGGUUCCAGUUAAUGUGAUUGUAUGAGAUUAUUUUAUUUUUCAUCUGAAACUGGUUGCCUGCAUUUUCAUCAUUAUUAGCAUUUUAAUAAAUUUCAAUAGGCAUUUAAAUACUAUUCAACUAGCAUUUAAAAUGUUCACAUGAAGCAAUUUAGCAAAGUUUCUGCUUUCUAUCAAUUAGUACAGAAGCGUUGCAUGCAACUUUUUUCUCAGUAGGCAAUAAUAUAAUUCUAGAUUAAGCAAAACAAUAUAUUUCAAUAGGCAACACCAUGUUUUUGUACUAUAGAAUUAUAUGGUUCUUCAUAGGCAAAAUUGUGCAAUUCACUAGGCAAUCUUUAUCGAGCAUUUUUGUAGUUCCUUUUCUGAUUGGUUGACUUAAGUAGUAUAUCCACAUACAUCUACCGGCACUUGUACUAGAUAUUAUUCCCCUACCACUAUGUGCAAUAAGCAUCCAGCAACCUGAAAUGCAAUAAGGUCUGCGAUGCAGUGGAUAGUGUUAUUGGUUUGGAUUAGAACACUUUGAUCGUGCCUGCGUUGCCAUUAGCAUGAGGUUUAGUGUUCUUGACAAUUUUCUUAUUUCUUUCUAGGUUUGCUACUCUUCUUUUCAGUUACUCCUAGCUCUUAUCUGAAGUGGAGUAAGAAAGAAUCAUCAUAUUUCUCAAUCUCUAUAGCCGAAGAAGUGUGGAGAAGAUGCAGGUUCAUAGGUGAACAAGAACUGAAACAAGUAACAGUUUUUUUUAAGUUACAAAACCUUUUAAUUGGGUCUGAAUUGAUCCCAAAUUGAUGUGAUAUUUGCCUGGCAAUAACUUUCAAUUUCGCUAUAAAGAGUCAGAUUAGUAUGGUGUGAUCCCAGUAAUGUUGCACCAACGCUACACUAUUUACUCUCAGAAGAAAUCUAACAGUUUCGAGAUUUAGCAUAUUAGUAUAUUAUUUGUGCAACUUUGUUGCUUCA